UUAUAGCUAUUGUUAUAGAAAUUAGAAUAAAGCAAAAAACAGAAGCAAUUUCAUUGAUUUUUUUUCCUGCUAAUAAAUCAAUGAAACCCAAUUUCCAUGUUCUUCAGGAUGGAAAAAUUGUACCUGUGCUAUGUAGAUUCUCAGUAUAGUAGAGUUGAUCUCUGUUUCCAGCUGAAUCAGAAAAAUGUUUAAUCAAAUAAUUGCUCUGGUAGCUGCAGUGAG
rnacentral:lncRNA from 1 species